AUUUCUGAUGAUAAAAGCAAACGGAUUCGUUUAUUAUCUGCUCUUUGCCUUAUAAUCGCGGAGUCAGUGAUAUUUGUGAUUUUAUUUCCCAAACUUAUUGCAAAAUGCUUUGGAAAAAAAUUUAAAAGUGUAAAAGAAUAUAAAAUUUACCUUUGGCUAACACUGCGAAAGUUUAAAGAAACUUAAGUAUAGGAAUAUUUAAUAAGUGCUACGCAAAUUCAAUCCCCAGCGAGUCGCUGCUAAAUAUCGAUUUGUGCAAGGCGCUGGCGAGAGUGUGUAAACAUAUUUCUAUAUGUGCGGGCAUAUAUAGUUAAUGGAAUUUGUAUGCAUAUGCGUAAAUUGUGCUGACCUCCGCUGCAUCCAAAAAAGAGCAGUUAAACAAAAUCACUGAUUCAACUAUUAUAUUGAGACGAUACUAGUUUUCGCGGAGUUUUGCUGCCGUGUUGAAGACCGGCGGAUACUCCGUGUUGUAAAACAACAACAUUCGUGCUGAAAAUUACGAUGGCGCAAACAAAACAAAGUAGUCCGCAGCACAGCUAUCGUAUUAAAAGGUUUCAUCACCUUAUAUUUUUUGCUGUAUUGACAAAUCUUUUCGCUAACAGCUUGCAGGACUGCGUUUGGUAUGGUGUUUGCAAUGUUGAUCCCUUAAUGGGACACAAACAAUAUUGCGUUUACAAUGGCACAGCAAAGGUUAUGCCUGCCGAUGGAUUGGAAUUAAUGAAAGCGAGAUGUAGUCAUUUGCUGGAAGGUGGCGCUACUGAAUUUUGUUGUAAUAGCGAUCAGAUCUCCAUACUCAACGAAAAUAUAAAACUAGCUGCUAAUUUUCUCGAGCGCUGCCCAUCGUGUAUGGCAAAUCUUGUGCGUCAUUUAUGUGACUUAACGUGUUCGCCAAAACAAACGGAGUUCUCGAAGAUUGCUGAGACUAAAACCACACCGGAGGGUAAAGUUUAUGCUACCGCCUUGGAUUUACACAUAACCGCUGCUUAUAUGAAUAAUACGUACAAAUCAUGUUCACAGGUCUCCGUGCCAUCGACUGGUCAGAAGGCUUUUGAUUUAAUGUGUGGCAGUUACAUGGCCGCACGUUGCAGUCCAACAAAAUGGUUUGGUUUUAUGGGCGAUAAGGAUUCCAAUCCGUAUGUACCGUUUCAAAUCAACUAUAUACAACAUGAAAAUAGCUCAGCCAUAAUAAAUGGCUUUACGCCUUUGAAUUCGAAAACCACACCAUGUAAUGAGAAAUUGAAUGAUAAAACUCCCGCCUGUGGUUGCAGCGAUUGUGAGGCUUCUUGCCCGAUACCCGUACCGGAGCCACCACGUCCGGAACCCUUUAAAAUUGCCGGUCUCGACGCGUUCGCUGUGAUAAUGACAGUUGUCUUUUUCGUAGGCGCACUGCUCUUUCUCAUGGGCGUAUGCCUAUUUCCCUCCAAAAGAAGUGAAAUAGGUGAUGGUUUGGAUAGUGGGCUUCGUAGCGCCACAAUAAACAACCGAUUCACUGGACAAGUGAGUAACGAGUUCGCACCUGAGGAGGAUUCCCCACUACAAUCGAAAAUGGGCAAUGAUGAAAACGAAGUUGACGGUGCACCACAGGGUACGCUUGAUGAAUACGAGACUGGUUAUUUCGAAAAUCUCGGCGCUAGGACCGAGAAAUGUCUGGAAUCAUUUUUCACCACUUGGGGCAAAUUCUUCGCAAGUCGCCCGAAAUUGACACUAAUCGGUGGCAUUUGUUUUGUUAUCGCUAUGGGUUAUGGCAUUAAAUUCCUACACAUCACAACCGAUCCGGUACAGUUGUGGGCGUCACCGCAAUCGAAAUCGCGUAUUGAACGUGAAUUUUACGAUUCGAAAUUUCAACCGUUCUAUCGCAUCGAACAGAUAAUCAUCCACGCCGUCGAUUUGCCCGAUAUCGUACACAAUACAUCUAACGGUCCAAUACAUUUUGGCCCAGUUUUCGAUAAAGCAUUUCUCACACAAGUCCUAGAGCUCCAGGAAGACAUUAUGAAUUUAGGUAGAAAUAGUAAUGGCACAGUUUUGGAAGAUAUAUGCUUUGCCCCGCUAUCCAGCGAGAGCACCGCCAAAAAGGAUGUAUCUAAUUGCAUUGUGCAAUCCAUUUGGGGUUAUUUCGGUAACGAUUUGGAGCGUUUGAAUGAGACUGAAGAGGAUGGCAAUUUCGAGGUUACCUACUUGGAUGGCUUGUAUCAAUGUAUGAGUAAUCCAUAUCUCUGUUUGGCACCUUAUGGCGGACCGGUGGAUCCAGCUGUAGGCCUGGGCGGUUUUUUGUCACACGGUGAACAAUUAUCUGGCGAUACGAAAUUCGAGCGUGCAAAUGCCAUUAUACUAACCUUCCUGGUGAAUAACUAUCAUGAUAAGUCCAAACUGGGUCCGGCAUUGGAGUGGGAGAAACGUUAUGUAGAGUUUAUGUUGAACUACACGAAGACACGCAUGGGCAAACAUAUGGAUAUUGCAUUUACUUCAGAGCGUUCGAUUGAAGACGAACUAAAUCGUGAAUCGCAAUCCGAUGUCAUGACCAUACUCGUUUCCUAUUUAAUUAUGUUUGCGUAUAUUGCGAUCUCUUUGGGUCAUGUGCAGGAGGUGCGUCGCGCGUUAAUCGAUAGUAAAAUUACUUUAGGCGUUGGUGGCGUGAUCAUAGUGUUGGCCUCCGUUGUCUCUUCGGUUGGCGUAUUCGGCUAUAUUGGCGUGCCAGCCACACUAAUUAUCGUCGAAGUUAUACCCUUCCUAGUGUUGGCCGUGGGUGUCGAUAACAUCUUCAUAUUGGUGCAAACGUAUCAGCGUGAUGCACGUCGCGCCGAUGAAACGCACGAGGACCAUAUUGGUCGUAUAUUGGGACGUGUGGGACCUUCUAUGCUGCUGACUUCGGUUAGUGAAAGUUGUUGCUUCUUCUUGGGCGGUCUUUCGGAUAUGCCCGCGGUAAGGGCUUUCGCAUUGUACGCUGGCAUGGCGCUACUCUUCGAUUUCAUAUUGCAAAUCACAUGUUUCGUUAGUCUGCUAACGCUCGACACUAAACGUCAAGCUGAAAAUCGUUUGGACAUAUUCUGUUUUAUACGUGGCAAGAAGAGUGAUGCCCUACCACACACCGAGGGUUUGCUGUACAAAUUCUUCAAGAGCGUCUAUGUACCAUUCCUAAUGCAAAAGACUAUGCGUGUUAUCGUUAUGAUCAUAUUCUUCGGUUGGUUGUGCAGCAGCGUUGCCAUUGCGCCACGCAUUGAAAUCGGUUUGGAUCAGGAGUUGUCAAUGCCGCAGGACAGUUUUGUUCUACACUAUUUCCAAGCGCUAAACAAAUAUUUAAGUAUUGGUCCACCAGUGUACUUUGUGUUAAAAUCCGGUUUGGAUUUCUCCAAAACAUUCCAUCAAGAUCUUGUUUGUUCCGGGAAGUAUUGUAAUGAUGACAGCAUGUUGACGCAAAUCUAUUUGGCCAGUCGUCGCGGCAAUAUGACAUACAUUGCACGUCCUGCCUCCAGUUGGAUCGAUGACUACUUCGAUUGGAGUCAGUCGUCAAGUUGCUGUAAAUAUUAUCCGAAAACUGGCGACUUUUGUCCACAUCAAAAGACUGAAUGUGACAGCUGCGAAAUUGAUAAAACCGAUCGUCAACGUCCUACAGCGCAUGAUUUUGGCAAAUAUCUAACGUUCUUCUUGCGCGAUAAUCCCGACGAUAGCUGCGCCAAAGCCGGACAUGCUGCUUACGGCAAUGCCGUACAGUAUAAAACUAAUCCGAGUACAAAUCUCUCUACCGUCGAAGCAACCUCAUUUAUGGCAUACCAUUCCAUAUUGAAGACAUCCGCCGAUUUCUAUGAAUCACUACGUGCAGCACGUAAAAUCUCUGCCAAUAUAACGCAUAUGUUGCGCGGCCGUUUAAUGUCACAGGGUGUGCCGUUCGAGCAAACACUCGAUAUUGAAGUAUUUCCAUAUUCGGUCUUUUAUGUAUUCUACGAACAGUAUUUAACCAUGUGGCCCGAUACGUUGCAAAGCAUGGGCAUUUCAGUGCUCGCCAUAUUUAUUGUUACAUUCGUGCUAAUGGGUUUCGAUAUACACUCAUCACUGGUGGUGGUGAUAACAAUCACAAUGAUUGUUAUAAAUUUGGGUGGCAUCAUGUACUAUUGGAAUAUAUCAUUGAAUGCGGUGUCGCUGGUGAAUCUUGUUAUGGCCGUUGGCAUAUCGGUGGAGUUCUGCUCGCAUCUGGUGCAUAGUUUCUCGAUUUCAAUGGAGAGUACACGUGAGAAGCGUGCCGCAGAUUGUCUAACUAAAAUGGGCAGUUCGAUAUUUUCCGGUAUUACUUUAACGAAAUUCGGCGGCAUUUUAGUUUUGGCUUUUGCCAAGAGUCAAAUAUUCCAAGUAUUCUAUUUCCGUAUGUAUUUGGGUAUUGUGCUGAUUGGCGCUGCUCACGGACUUAUAUUCCUGCCGGUGCUACUCAGCUAUAUUGGUUAGUGAUCAAAUCAAGUAUCUAAGAAAAUUUAAAAUAUGGCGCACCGAUUAACAAAGCCAAACUGGUCAAUUAUCAACGACAGGCCUAUAAAGUGCAAGAAACAUCGCUAUCUACGACGUGAUGCGAAUCGAUAAUUUACCAAAGAGACGACUCACCGUCAAGUCCAAAAAUUAUCAUCCAACCAACACCAUCAACGAGCAUAUUCACAUUUUUUCAUCAAUACAUCGGCAGGGCGUGUCUUUAUCGUGCAGCGGAGGUAUGAAGAUGACAAAUGAUGUGAUGAUAAUGUAAAAAUCAAAACCAAAAACAAACCACAAAAAAAAGAAACAAGAAAGCAUAACGCCCCAGUCAAGUUAGAAAGUGAGCAUGUGUAAGUGACGGAGUAGCGAAACUUUAUUUGCACUUGUAACAGUUCAGGAAACAGUAAAAAAAAAAAUUAUAGGGUACAAAGGAAAUAUAAAUGUAUGUAUGUAGUUUAUUGUUUUUAAUUUUUUCCCCCGAAUGCGAGUAUUACAGAAAUAUGUGAAAAAGACAAACAAAAACAAAGAUUUCUUUACGAAGUAAUUUAUAUAUAUACACAAACACACACACCCGUGUACGCAAACAAAAAAAACGUUAGUUGUGAGGUUCGUAAAAGGCUUUUGUAUUGAAAAAAAAAUAAAAUAAAAAUAAAUUAUUUCAAACAAGCACCAAUAUGUACCCAGCCUAAAUCGAGCUCUGUGAUAAACUUAGGUACAGGAAAAAGUGAACAAAUCAUAAAAAUUAAAUACAAUGAUAAAUAAACUAUAGAAGACAAAAAAAAAAAAAACAGCAACAACAUUUGUAUUGAACAAAAUAUGCAAUCAUAUUUCCAUAGACUGGUCAACUAGGCAGUAGCUGCAGCACUGAAAGCAUUCGUGUUUGGCUUUAGAUUUUGAAAGCCGUUAGUAUUUUUUUGGCAUUUUUCAAUUAGAUAUUUUUAAUUAUCAAGCGUUCUCUUAUACAUACAUAAUAGAAUACAUUUCCAUAUAAAUAUUCACACAAAUACAAAAAAUAUGCUCAUACAUAUGUUUGUAUGUUCUACAGAAAUAUUCAUGCAUACCUAAAUAUUACAUUUUUUAGUAUAUACAUACAGAUAUCACGCCUAUUGGGCUUAUAUAUUCUCAGCAUUCAUUAAUUUUUAUUUUCGAAUAUCUUUUUGCUAAUUGGAUUAAAGCGAAUUGAAAUUAUUUUUUAGCUUACAUAUUUUUUUCUAAAUUAUUAUUAUUAUUUGCAUGCUUCGGAGAGUCCGUAUUAUACAUAUAUACGACUUGUUUGUGUGUAUAAAUGUAGCAUAUUUAGACUAUAUUAGCUAGCGAUAUUAGUACUUUGGAAAACUUAAAAAUGUAUUUUUAGGUUAAAUGAAUUAUAUAUUAUAUUAUUUGAAAUAAAAAGCACUGUAAUAAAAUUAUUUAUAAACUGUGUGACAAUGCACUUUUCACAAA